AUGAGCAUGAGGCUCUUCUGGUCUCUUUUCAUUUAUUUCCUGGGAGCAGGUCCCAUCGAUGCUAAAGAUGCAGGCAUUACUCAGCACCCAAGACAUAUAGUCACAGGAAUGGGACAGGCAGUGACACUGGAAUGUGAACAGACUUUGGAACAUAAUGCCAUGUACUGGUAUAGACAAGAUUUGGGCCAAGGUCUUCAGCUCAUCUAUUACUCUGGAAUUAAAGGUGACACUCAGAAAGGAGACAUUCCUGAGGGAUAUAAAGUCACUCGAGAAAAGAAGGAGUUCUUUCCUCUCAUUCUACAGAUGCCAAGACCUAACCAAUCAUCUUUGUAUCUCUGUGCUAGUAGCAGAGACACA